CGAGGCGGGGUGGGGAGGGGGGAGGGGCCGCGGGAACGGAUGGCGGCCUGGGCCCCGUAGCAGCGGCGGCUCUACGGCCCGGGGCCCGGGCGGGCGGAGGUGGCGGCUCCCGGGACCGGUCGCGCGCAAUGAUGUUGUCCACUGGGCAUGUACUGACCAAUGUGGCAGGUCUGAGAACAUAGCUGAAGCUGAAAAUAGGAAAGCUGGGGGCAAGGAAGAGCCUUGAAUCUUGAGGUGGGACGUUGACUCUAAGAUGUCCUUGAGCAGUGGAGCCUCCGGAGGGAAAGGAGUGGAUGCAAACCCGGUUGAGACAUACGACAGUGGGGAUGAAUGGGACAUUGGAGUAGGGAAUCUCAUCAUUGACCUGGACGCCGAUCUGGAAAAGGACCAGCAGAAACUGGAAAUGUCAGGCUCAAAGGAGGUGGGGAUACCAGCUCCCAAUGCUGUGGCCACACUACCAGACAACAUCAAGUUUGUGACCCCAGUGCCAGGUCCUCAAGGGAAGGAAGGCAAAUCAAAAUCCAAAAGGAAUAAGAGUGGCAAAGACACUAGCAAACCCACUCCAGGGACAUCCCUGUUCACUCCAAGUGAGGGGGCAGCUAGCAAGAAAGAGGUGCAGGGACGCUCAGGAGAUGGUGCCAAUGCAGGAAGCCUGGUUGCUGCUAUUGCUCCCAAGGGCUCAGAGAAGGCGGCUAAGGCAUCCCGCAGUGUAGCCGGCUCCAAAAAGGAGAAGGAGAACAGCUCAUCUAAGAGCAAGAAGGAGAGAAGCGAAGGAGUGGGGACUUGUUCAGAAAAGGAUCCUGGGGUCCUCCAGCCAGUACCCUUGGGAGGACGGGGUGGUCAGUAUGAUGGAAGUGCAGGGGUGGAUGCAGGAGCUGUGGAGCCACUUGGGAGUAUAGCUAUUGAGCCUGGGGCAGCGCUCAAUCCUUUGGGAGCUAAACCGGAGCCUGAGGAAGGGGAGAAUGAGUGUCGCCCGCUAAAGAAAGUCAAGUCUGAAAAGAUGGAGUCCCCCGUCUCCACACCAGCAGUGCUGCCACUGCACCUUUUGGUGCCAGUGGUCAGUAAUGACAUCUCAUCCCCCUGUGAGCAGAUCAUGGUUCGAACCCGAUCAGUUGGGGUCAACACAUGUGAUGUGGCUCUGGCCACAGAACCUGAGUGCCUGGGCCCCUGUGAACCUGGGACAAGUGUCAACCUCGAGGGCAUCGUGUGGCAGGAAACAGAAGAUGGGAUGUUGGUGGUGAAUGUAACAUGGAGGAACAAGACUUAUGUAGGUACACUUCUGGACUGCACACGGCAUGACUGGGCACCCCCCAGGUUCUGUGACUCUCCCACCAGUGACUUGGAAAUGCGCAAUGGUCGGGGUAGAGGCAAACGCAUGCGUCCCAACAGUAACACACCUGUCAACGAGACAGCUGCAGCCUCUGACAACAAAGGGACCAGUAGUAGCAGCAAAACCCGUGCAGGAGCCAAUAGCAAAGGCCGACGGGGCAGCCAGAAUUCUUCAGAACAUCGCCCACCUGCUAGUAGCACCUCUGAGGAUGUCAAGGCCAGCCCUUCCUCAGCUAAUAAGCGGAAAAACAAGCCCCUUUCAGACAUGGAACUGAAUUCUAGCUCGGAGGACUCCAAAGGGAGCAAGCGUGUGCGCACGAAUUCCAUGGGCUCAGCCACUGGCCCCCCACCUGGGACCAAGGUGGAACCCACUGUUCUGGACAGAAAUUGUCCCUCUCCAGUCCUGAUUGACUGUCCCCACCCAAACUGCAACAAAAAGUACAAGCACAUCAAUGGACUUAAGUACCACCAAGCUCAUGCCCAUACAGAUGAUGACAGCAAACCUGAAGCAGAUGGGGACAGUGAGUAUGGAGAGGAGCCCACCCUCCACACAGACCUCGGGAGCUGCAAUGGUGCAUCUGUCUCACAAAAAGGUUCCUUGUCCCCUGCCCGCUCAGCUACCCCCAAAGUUCGGCUCGUAGAGCCUCACAGCCCUUCUCCUUCCAGCAAAUUCAGCACAAAAGGCCUCUGUAAGAAAAAGUUGAGUGGGGACGGGGACACAGAUCUCGGGGCCUUAUCCAAUGAUGGUUCUGAUGAUGGACCCUCAGUAAUGGAUGAAACAAGCAAUGAUGCCUUUGAUUCUUUGGAAAGGAAGUGUAUGGAAAAAGAAAAGUGUAAAAAACCCUCUAGUUUGAAACCCGAAAAGAUUCCUUCCAAAAGUUUAAAGUCAGCCCGGCCCAUUGCCCCUGCCAUCCCCCCACAGCAAAUUUAUACCUUCCAGACGGCCACCUUCACAGCAGCAAGCCCAGGCUCCUCCUCAGGCUUGACCACCACGGUGGUCCAGGCCAUGCCCAACAGCCCCCAACUCAAGCCCAUUCAGCCCAAGCCCACUGUGAUGGGAGAACCUUUCACAGUCAACCCUGCCUUGACUCCGGCCAAGGACAAGAAAAAGAAAGACAAAAAAAAGAAGGAGUCUUCAAAGGAACUUGAAAGUCCCCUGACCCCCGGGAAGGUAUGUCGAGCAGAAGAAGGCAAAAGCCCAUUCAGGGAAUCAUCAGGAGAUGGGGUGAAGAUGGAGGGGCUUCUAAAUGGCUCCUCAGACCCCCACCAGAGCCGCCUGGCUAGCAUCAAGGCCGAAGCUGACAAGAUCUAUAGCUUCACGGACAAUGCUCCCAGCCCAUCAAUUGGAGGCAGCAGCCGCUUAGACAGCACUACCCCCACCCAGCCCAUGACUCCCUUACAUGUAGUGACCCAGAAUGGAGCCGAAGCCAGCUCAGUCAAAACCAAUAGCCCCGCUUACUCCGACAUCUCUGAUGCUGGGGAGGAUGGGGAGGGCAAAGUGGACAGUGUCAAAUCAAAGGACCCUGAACAACUGGUUAAGGAAGGAGCUAAGAAAACUCUUUUCCCUCCCCAGCCGCAGAGCAAAGACUCACCAUAUUACCAAGGCUUUGAGAGUUACUAUUCUCCAAAUUAUGCACAAUCCAGCCCAGGGGCUCUGAACCCCAGCAGCCAGGCUGGAGUGGAGAGCCAGGCCCUGAAGGCAAAAAAGGAUGAGGAGCCCGAGAGCAUGGAGGGGAAAGUGAAGAACGACGCCUGUGAGGAAAAGAAACCAGAGCUGAGCAGUUCCAGUCAGCAACCCUCCGUCAUCCAGCAACGUCCCAACAUGUACAUGCAGUCCCUGUACUACAACCAGUAUGCCUACGUGCCCCCCUACGGCUACAGCGACCAGAGCUACCACACCCAUCUGCUGAGCACGAACACAGCUUACCGGCAACAGUAUGAAGAGCAGCAGAAACGGCAGAGCUUGGAGCAGCAGCAGCGGGGACUGGACAAGAAGGCAGAAAUGGGCCUUAAAGAGCGGGAGGCAGCUCUCAAGGAAGAAUGGAAGCAAAAGCCGUCGAUCCCCCCAACUCUCACCAAGGCCCCCAGCCUGACAGACCUGGUGAAGUCAGGACCCGGCAAGGCCAAGGAGCCAGGGGCUGACCCUGCCAAAUCAGUCAUUAUUCCCAAGCUAGACGACUCUUCCAAACUCCCCAGCCAGGCCCCAGAAGGACUUAAAGUGAAGCUGAGUGAGGCCAGCCACCUAGGCAAGGAGGCCUCUGAGGCCAAGGCAGGUCCUGAGUGUGGCCGACAGGCAGAGGUGGACCCAAUACUCUGGUACCGACAGGAAGCAGAACCCCGGAUGUGGACAUAUGUUUAUCCUGCCAAGUACUCGGACAUCAAGUCAGAGGAUGAGCGGUGGAAAGAGGAGCGGGACCGCAAAUUGAAGGAAGAAAGGAGUCGGAGUAAGGACUCUGUUCCCAAGGAGGAUGGGAAGGAAAGCACAAGUAGUGACUGCAAGCUGCCCACAUCUGAGGAGUCCCGUCUCGGGAGCAAGGAGCCCCGACCAAGUGUCCACGUGCCUGUGUCCUCCCCCCUCACCCAGCACCAGUCCUACAUCCCCUACAUGCACGGCUACUCCUACGGCCAGUCCUACGACCCCAACCACCCCAGCUACCGAGGCAUGCCUGCUGUGAUGAUGCAGAACUACCCAGGUUCCUACCUGCCUUCCAGCUAUUCUUUCUCCCCAUAUGGCAGCAAGGUCUCAGGGGGUGAAGAUGCUGACAAAGCACGCUCCAGCCCCAGUGUCAGUUGUAAAUCCAGCUCAGAGUCCAAAGCCCUGGACAUCUUGCAGCAGCAUGCCAGUCAUUACAAGAGCAAGUCGCCUACGAUAAGUGAUAAAAAUUCUCAGGAGAGAGAUCGGGGAGGCUGUGGGGUGGUUGGGGGUGGUGGCAGCUGUAGCAGCGUCGGGGGAGCAGGCGGGGGUGAAAGGAGUGUUGACCGGCCCCGCACCUCGCCUUCUCAGCGCCUAAUGUCCACACACCACCACCACCACCACCUGGGGUACUCAUUGCUCCCAGCACAGUACAACUUACCCUAUGCAGCAGGUAAGCCUCAUUUCCCCAGCUUCCUUUUUUUUUUUUUUUUUCCUUCUUUUGGCCACACCUAUUGCAUGUGGAAGUUCCCAGGCCAGAGACUGAACCCACACCACAGCAGCAAGCUAAGCCACUGCAUUGACAAUGCCAGAUACUUAUUAACUUGCUGAGCCCCAAGAGAACUCCUCACCUCCUAUCUUUUCUCCUGCAUCCCAGUAGUAUUGCUCACAGCAGGGGGCCCCUGGUAAGAAUCUUCCCCCCUGUUUUUCCUUUGAGCUUCUAAUCUGUCCAGAAUCCUAGCCUCCUGCAGACAAUCAAUAAAAUAAUCAUGACAUUUAUUUCCUCCUUUGGAGCUUGGGGAUUCUCAAUGCCUCCAGAAAAUUGGCUUUGAUAUUCAGAAUAAGGAGCAAGUGUUCUCACAGCCAAAACGUAACAAGCAACUGAAAAAUAGAGCCUCGUUAUCUAUUCCCAGCCACUAUAUCUGACGAAGUAUCAGAUUUUCUUCUGUCAGCACCCCAGAACUCAGUGGGGCUAGGAAUUUAAGGAGAAACUACCCCCCACACACACCCAGUACCCACCCAGCUGGCAAGAAGGGAGGACGCUUAAGGGGAGGGUUCUGGGAGCACUCCACUAACACAUCCUCCUUCUCACUCAGGGCUUUCCUCUACAGCCAUUGUUGCCAGCCAGCAAGGCUCAACCCCUUCACUCUACCCACCCCCCCGGAGGUGAGAAUGAACACCAAGUGCCCGGAUAGUCAGCUUCACGGGCCCGGACUGGCUCACCCAAGGAGGUGCUGGAGGUGCCAUAUAGACAUCAGUUAAAUGGUGUUGAUCAUCUGUUUGCCGUUCCCACCAUGACUGAAGGCAGACCCUUGGCUAUCUCGCCUCCACGAGACCCCUGGACUCCCUGACCCUCCCUCAGGAGCUGGAGAGCUGGUACUUAGCAAAAAUAUUUAUUCUCUUGGCCACGGUCAUGACUGCUGUGGCCUCUGUGGAGAUGAAGGCACUGGGAGCAACUAGGGGAACAUGGCCUCAGCCCAGAGAAGUCACUACUCUGUUCCCCCAGUCCCUGGUCAGCUGCCAGAGCAGUAACCCCGCAUCCGCCCCCCGCCCCUGCCCAGGGAGGGAUCCCAAGCACUGGGUAAGGUCUGAAGACAGCACAGCAGCCAUACCCCUCACCAUCAUUACCACCAUCGCCAGACCCUGCAUCUCCCCAGCAGUUUGGGCCCUGGGAACUGGUAGCACGUGGAGGAAUUAGAAUCUCAGGAAAGAAACUGGGGGAUGUUUUCUCUGCAGUUGUGAAAAAGAGGUCUUCAAACAUGAAAACUUCUCCCCACUCAUGUGAGCACAUGUAAACGCUCAGAGCCCAGCCUGAAAAGGGAGACUAAGGCAUCUGGCCCACCGUGGCCUCGGGCUGUUAGGCAGAGGGCUGGGGCCCCAACACCAGCACAGGGCUCCCCAGGGGUAUCAGGCGAGAGCUGGAGCUGGAGCACGAAGGGAGUCUGUGAACUAGAAGCUGCAUCCCCACAAAGUCCUGCUGCUGCUUAGCCCCAUUCCUUGCCCUCUUCUUCUUUCUCUCCUGAUCCCUUGGUGCCUUUCCUACGGGAUCUCCACGCUGAUGUCUCCUCUUCUUUUCCGCUGCUUGGCUCUUUAAGACUCAGGCAGGUAAAAUAGUCCCCCCCACACACGGGGGGUGGGGGGCUUUGGAUCUGCCUCCCGGUCACCUGAGAGCAAGCCAGGAGGCAGGCCCUGGGAGCACCCAGCCCUCCUUAGAGAUGUCCUGCCCAAGCAGUCAUCUGCGUGUCCUCCCCACAUAGCGCCACAAAGCUGUACUGCCCAGUUUCCUGUACACAACUACAUGACUUCAUAUAGCUCAGUCUAUACCCCUGUGUGUGCCAAGAGAAGCUGUGUUUCUUUGUUACACACAUUUUUGUUUUAGGGGCCACUGACCGUGGGAGGUGAUGUGUUCCUUAGAUUCUGGGGUAACACAUGCAAGCCAUUACUCCUCGGAGCCCCAGAGGGUACUCAGAGGAGCUGUGCUUUGAGGCAGAGACGUUUCUCCGCUCUCCUUAGAAACGCACUCCCAGUCCAGCUUUAUGCUCUUUGUACUGGGAAAGUGGCAGUGAUUUGUUGCUUUAUUGGAGUCACUUCUUCCCCAAAGUAUGGGGAGCUUUAGCUCUUAAUUUGCUUUUGAGGUACCAUCCCCUUUGUCCUCCUUCUCCUCUUCUGUCUUUCCUUGACCUUCUGGAUUGAGAUGCAGACAGACACCAACCUAGGUUAGAGACGGGUGUUUGUCACCAGAGUGCCAAAAGGGACCGUUUAAGAGCAGGGACUUGGCUCUGACAGUCUGGGGCAUGGAGAUGGAGGACAGUAAGCACAAUGCCCAGGAGAGGCUGCUUUCCAAGCACCCCAGGGCCCUGCUCUAGAGAGGCUUGAGGUCUCUUGCCCAAGGGGAGCCCCUCUGACCUGCAGACCUUUCCUCUAGGUUUCCACGUCCUUGUUUUUGUUCAAGUUGGCUUUUGAGCCCUCCCCACAACCCAGUUUUAGACCUCUUAGCAGGCCCCAGGCAGCCCCUCCCACCCCAUCAUGCCUUCUGCCUCCUGCUGCCCCAGCAAGCAGUCCCCUGAGCAAUGACGUCCCCUUAACCCGUGGAAGCAGUUGGUGUGGACACCCUCACCCCACCUUACCCAAGUCACCCCCCUGGAAGGAUGGCUCUGAAUUUCAGCCUGACUGUGCCCUCCCAGGCUUCUGUGGGGUGCAGCCAAGGGCUCAUCUCUGUUCCUGUUUGCUUUUAAAUAUCGUUGUGUGUUUUGUAUCUGUGGCGCUGGCUUACAGCGUGCUCUGUACAUAUUGUGAAGAAACUGUUUGGAGUAAUUUUCUUUUCUGUUGGGCAGGCAUGGCCCCGCUUUCCCGCCCUUUCCACUUUGUUCUGUAACAGAGAAGAGGAAUUUCUGUAUUAGCGGGACCCUUGGGUUCUGCAGAAGGAAACUGCUUUUUCUUUUUUUCCUAUUUUCCCUUGAAAAACAUUUGGUUCUUUGAUCCUUAUAUCCAAGUCUCCCUUGAAAAGCAGGAGCUGAGCUGCCCAGAAGAGCAGGUGAAAGCAACAGUGGCAGAAUGGCACUGCCCUUUCCUGAUCCUCCUGGUCCCUGAUCCUUGCCAGGUCCAGUCCUCCCUCCCCGAAGUAACACGAAACAGCAGCAGUGAUGGAUCAAGGAGAGCUCCUUGAUGAGUGCUGAGUGUUACUCACCUCUAGGUCUCUGUACGUGGGGAGGAGGAACACGGCUGGGGCAUCUGUGGCACCGGUGCCCUGGUCAUAGGGAUGAGACCCUCAAGGAUUCCCACUUCACCCCAGAGAAGGCUGCUAAGGGCCACGACCACACCACGGCUCUCUCUGAGCCACCCCUGCUCAGUUCUCUUGACAGACAUUGCUUGUCCAGGCCCUCACAGAGGAGCUAGAAAGAAGCAGCCUCGUCCCCAAGUGGGAUAGCCAAGGCUUGGUGAGCUGCUCUUUAGGAUUCACAUCUGCUUCUUCCUCGUUUAAGGUGUGCCAGUUCCCUUUGUCCUCUUUCCCUGCCUGUACAUGUAUGUAUACAUGUAUGAUAUCUCCUUCUCUGACCUCACCCUCUCCACAUGUCUCAAGGUCAAAGGACCACAUGCAGAAGGGUUAAGGGGGCAACCCAUGAAAUGAAAUGAUCCUUCUUGAACCUCUUCUCUCCAGGCUCCACGGUGGGGGUUGGGGGGCCUAGUUGCAGGAGUGGGAGGGUUAAGACUAACGAAGGGCUAGAGAGCUAUUGCCUACAGGCUUCGAGGUCACCCACGCCACUUAUUAUCCCGUACACCCUUUCACCAUCUCAGUGUCUACUCUGAUGCCCCCAAGAUUCAACCGAGCAGCUAGCUGGCCCCAUAAUUCUGGGCCUUUGUUAUUUGUUUUACUAUUAGGGCCUCCCAGGAAGCUUUCUGAUGAUCCUCUGCCAUGGGCCCCUCCUGGGAUUGAGCCCCUCCCAGGCCCCGUCCCCAGCCCCUCCUGCCCCAGCCCACCCGCUUGCCUUGGUGCUCAGCCCCCCAUUGGGAGCAGGUUGGGGCGAGCUGGAGGCCCGGGCUGGAGGGGCAGUGUUGCUGUUCAUAGCUUUUGUUCCAUUGGCGUUGCUCUGUUGGAUUUAAUUUCAGUCUUCCUGAUUCUUCCCUUCUGUAAAGUGUACAUUACCAAGUUCCUUGUUUUUUUAUAUAUAUAUAUAAAUAUAUAUAUAUACAAACUGUACUCUUUUUGCCUUUGUACAUUCAGGCAAGAAGAGAAAAUAAAUCUUUUUAAGAGACAAUCACAAAUCUGUGAGGGCUGCUGGUUAUUUCUCCUGGAGUUUGCUGCUGAGCUGCCUCCUCUUCCCUCCCCACUUCUCCAUUCUCCCUCAGCUUUCCUGAUCUUCCUGGUCCUGCUCCAUAUGCAUCCUCAGCUCCACCUCCCCUGGCUGAUGGCAAGCUGUUGAAUCCAGUGUCCAGACUACCUGCCCUGCAGCGUUUUCCAGCCUGGCCUCGGGCUUACUCAGGAGCUUUAUCCUGUGCCCUGGCCUCUCCUGUCUUCCCUCUUAGAUCCCAUUCACCGAAGUGGCUUUCGACCCCUGGGUACUCUGGGACCUGUCUCCCAGAGGCCCUGGCUUUGGACACUACCUGUGAAACUAUGCAGCUGGGAGCUUUCUGCCUAAGAGUUUGCACUACUUCAAUCCGCCUGGGAGUUAGAACGGAUGGUUUUUAGGAAUGAGUGGGAAACUAGCCCCCAAAACUCCCCCAAAUGCCAGCCCCCAGACUAGCUCUGAUCCAGAGCCCAGAGAAUAUUCCUGGCUGGUGGACUCAUGGCUACCCCAUCAGAACAAGGGCUAAGGGUUUAUGGGUCAAGAGCAUUUGAUCAGAAUUUCAAAGGGUGGUACAUUCUGAAACACAGCCCGACCAAACCAUUGUUCCACCUCUUGAACUUUCUCCCUUUCCUCUAAUUUCCUUCCCCCUUUUUUCCCCUUUCUCUCUACUUCCUUUUCUUAAUUGGCUUUGGAAUUGAAGUAUAUUUUUAAAUUAUUUGUUGUAUUUAUUGAAUAAAGUUUUUAAUGUCCCUGUUCUUAAAUUUAGACUUAAUUUGCCUUUCACAUAUCUCCCCUAUCCUGUUCCACCCUCCCACUCCCAAAAUAUUUCACCUUCUACGUUGCUUUUUUAAUUGGAGUGCAAAUUUUGGGUGCCGUAUUGCUUUCCUGUCUUAUCUAGCAGAAGAUUUUUUUUUUCUUUUUGAAAUAUUAGCUGAGUGCCUGGGUUUCCCAUUCAGCCUUUCUAAAGAACCCCGGCUGUAUUCAAGAGGAUCCACCAGAAGGUGGCAGCAGAAUCUCAGGCAUGUUUCCUGUCCACCCUGCUAGCUUUGUUUUUCUUGGUUCUUUAUCCCUGUCUACAUUCCUUGAGUUUGAAUUUAACAUUUGAAUCCUAAACUGCUUAUAUUUUAACGUGGCCCUUGUCAGCAUUCACAUAGAUCUCUGUUGUAAAUAACUUACUGUAAUGACCAUUUUUCACUCACAGACUUUAUGCUGUCUCUAGGGGUUAUCUGCCCAGUGGACAAAAUCUUUUAAGCCCUUAUUUCAGAUCAAUGUCUCUAGGCCCAGACUCUACCAUUGAGGUGAAGAUGCUGAACUCACUUCUUUUAAUAAAUACCAGGUGGAGUCCUAGGUUAAUGUGAAAACCCAAGUAAGCACCACACAGAACAGUGUGAAAAUGAGCAAAAGGCUCAGAGAAAACUAAGAACAACCACAGCGCAACAGUAAGUUAAUAGCUCUAAAGCUGUAGGAGGUGGAAGAAUGUGCCCAGAACCUCAUUUAGGAAAAAUGGAAGCAAAAGGAAAAAAGUACUAGUAAACCCUUGAGAAAUUAAAAAGAGAUCACAGGUAAAGAGUAUUCUAUCCCCCUCCAAAAGGAGAAAACUAUCUUUCUAGGGAAGGUGCGUUUCGCUUCCUUCAAACCCCUCCAGGAAUGGGAAUGUCUGGCAGCUCCAUGUGAACACCAAGACCCAGUUUUAGGACCCAGCCUGCUAUACAAAAAACCUAAGAAUGGCUUGGAUUCUGGUAUAUAUAGAGUGUAUGCUGGAUGAAGCCAUGUGUACAUACCUGUCUCCAGAGGGCUGUGGCACUCUGUCCCAGACCCCUAAGCAACCCCAUGCUCUGCGGUGUAACGUGGCCCCCAGCACCUUGGCCGUUCAUCUGUCCUGAUGCACAGAUGCUUCUUUCCUGAGAAGCAUAUAUCACACCCCUUCUGGGUUGGGCUCUAGACUCAAAAGGACAGACCAACCACAACUUUAAAUCAGUUUAUUGACACAGUAACACAACACACUUGCCUCCCUGACACCCCCACCCCCCUGCGCCCACUCUAGAUCUCUCCUCUUCCUCCCCCCCUAGAGCAAGCUGUUCAGUGAAAAAGAGAGAAGGGCAAGUCACUUCUACACGCUCAGUCCCACACCUAAGCCCUGUGGAGCCUCUUAGGGAGGGACAGGGGCAGUGAGCACUAGAUAAGCAGAGGCAUCCAGUCCCUAAGAAUAGAUUCCCCCACAACCUCCAGGCCCUGAGUUGCUAUUCCUCUUCCUCUCUGCUCUUUGUGACCCUAGGAAGGAGGCACCUUGGGGCCUGGGCCUGCAGCCAAGAGCAAGAACUCCAGGCAGCAAUCUGAGAACUGGAGUUGGGCUAGUGUUUUUAAGGCCCAGGCACCCCCAAAAAAGCCCUGGUGGUGGGAGUGAACUUCAAUGCCCCUAUUUUAAAUGCACUGAUAACAUUAAACAGAUUAAGCCAGCUUAACCAAAUGCCAGAAUAACACUAAGCUAUAAGAGGGGUCAGACCUGCUUUCUCCAGGCCAGACACAAAUGCACAGAGAGAAGCCCAGGUGGAGUGUCAAAAAAACAAUGCAAGGACACUGCCCAGGGGCUGAAAAGCCUAUACUCAGGAGAUCCCAAGGUGACAGGAAGCAAGGAAAGAAAAUACACAAGCUUAAAAACCAAAAAAAAAAAAAAAAAAAAAAAAAAAAAA